UAAAAAUUAAAAAAAAAUUGGAGAAAUUUCCUUUGGUCAAGUCAAAUCCAAUUGAGUGAUGGCUAAACUCACACUGCACUUCAUCAAAUUCUUUUCACGUUCACCCAUCAAGUUUUUUUUCUCAGCAUUCGGCCUUCCCAUGUCCACGUCAUCUUCCCCGUGUGCACCAAGCUUUCCAACUUAGCAAAAUAAAGGCCUUUUCCAUUUUCUCCCCGUGUCCAAGUCUAAACCCCUCUUAAUCCCAGCCUACCCACGGAUGAGGUCACACAUCACCGAAUCCAAAUUUUUCCCAGCAUUUCUUACCUUCUGCGAUGCACGUCACACGUUCUUCAUCAAAAUCCAAACUCCUUAUCCCACGGAUAAGCCCAAGCCACCUUCAUCUCAUUCGCAAUUAGCUCCCAGCUCCUUCCACAUCCUCCAACGUCCCAGCUCCCCUGUUCCCAGCCGAAGGAACUCAAACAUUCAAGUCCAAGCUUCCUCUUCUUCCGAUUUGAUCUCAUGGAGCAGCCUAACAUCCUUUGGAUCACAUCUCUCCAUUCCGUGGAUCACGCCUCUGCUUCCUUCCCAUCCGCAUACAUUGCUUCACAUCACAGCCGUAUCUCUCUUCCCUCUUUUGAACUAAGCCAAUCGUCACCCAAAGAUCUCUUCCGGCUUAAUCUCCCACAUCCACGAGCCAAGCCAACUUCUUCAAACGCCUUUCCAGAUAAUUUCCCAGCACCCCAUGGUCAGCCGUGAGCCUCAUCCACAUCAUCCCCUGUUUCUCCGUGUUCAUUCCGAACCAACCCAUCCUCUUCCGUCGGAUUGACCCCAGCAAACUUCUUGAGCAACGAUUCCAUCAUCCACGGAUUCUCUCAUCUCCCCUUCAUUCCGUUCAGCAUCCCAAAACAGAGAUCAUCUUCCCUCCUGUCCGCGAUUUAUGGAAGACUUCCACCUUCUUCCAAAUCUCGGAUUACUUCCCCUGUUUCGGAACCAAUCCCAGCCUUCUUCCGGAUUAAUCCUAGCCGACUGCUUGAAUCCGAACCAGCUUGCAUCCUUAUCCCAUUGUCCACGGAUUCUCCAACUUCCCAGCAAUUUUUCGUAACACUUUCAUCCCGUUGUGAUUCAUUCUCAUCCAGGAUUAUCCCAUGCAUCCGAGGAUCAGCAACAUCGGCUUCUUCCAUGUGCUCUUCCCAACUUCCAGAAGCAAGCCAGCAAGCAGAGCUUCUCCAAGGAUCCGGAUCAGAUCUACAACACUUUCGGAUCACUUCACGUCCAGAGAUCGAGCAAAUCCAACGGCUUCCUGUUCCAACGAUUGGUUCAGUUCCAUCUCUGCAUCCUUAUCCUCCACUCAGAACAGUAGGGAAGAGGAGGAGGUAUGCAGUCUAUAAAAGCGCCACGCAUGAAACAGAGAAAGCAUUCCUCCUCUUCCCCACCAGGGGAGGGGGCUGCUCCCUUUAUCCCUUCUUCCUCACCGAAGGGAGUCGGCGGAGCAUCCUGGGAGAACAGGGGAGAAGCCAAGUUCCCACGAAAAAAA